AACGCUAGCUACAGGCUUAACACAUGCAAGUCGAGGGGCAGCAUUUCAGUUUGCUUGCAAACUGGAGAUGGCGACCGGCGCACGGGUGAGUAACACGUAUCCAACCUGCCGAUAACUCGGAGAUAGCCUUUCGAAAGAAAGAUUAAUACCCGAUGGUAUAAUCAGACCGCAUGGUCUUGUUAUUAAAGAAUUUCGGUUAUCGAUGGGGAUGCGUUCCAUUAGGCAGUUGGUGAGGUAACGGCUCACCAAACCUUCGAUGGAUAGGGGUUCUGAGAGGAAGGUCCCCCACAUUGGAACUGAGACGCGGUCCAAACUCCUACGGGAGGCAGCAGUGAGGAAUAUUGGUCAAUGGGCGCAGGCCUGAACCAGCCAAGUAGCGUGAAGGAUGACUGCCCUAUGGGUUGUAAACUUCUUUUAUAUGGGAAUAAAGUUUUCCACGUGUGGAAUUUUGUAUGUACCAUAUGAAUAAGGAUCGGCUAACUCCGUGCCAGCAGCCGCGGUAAUACGGAGGAUCCGAGCGUUAUCCGGAUUUAUUGGGUUUAAAGGGAGCGUAGGUGGACAGUUAAGUCAGUUGUGAAAGUUUGCGGCUCAACCGUAAAAUUGCAGUUGAUACUGGCUGUCUUGAGUACAGUAGAGGUGGGCGGAAUUCGUGGUGUAGCGGUGAAAUGCUUAGAUAUCACGAAGAACUCCGAUUGCGAAGGCAGCUCACUGGACUGCAACUGACACUGAUGCUCGAAAGUGUGGGUAUCAAACAGGAUUAGAUACCCUGGUAGUCCACACAGUAAACGAUGAAUACUCGCUGUUUGCGAUAUACAGUAAGCGGCCAAGCGAAAGCAUUAAGUAUUCCACCUGGGGAGUACGCCGGCAACGGUGAAACUCAAAGGAAUUGACGGGGGCCCGCACAAGCGGAGGAACAUGUGGUUUAAUUUGAUGAUACGCGAGGAACCUUACCCGGGCUUAAAUUGCAUUUGAAUAUAUUGGAAACAGUAUAGCCCGUAAGGCAAAUGUGAAGGUGCUGCAUGGUUGUCGUCAGCUCGUGCCGUGAGGUGUCGGUUUAAGUGCCAUAACGAGCGCAACCCUUAUCUUUAGUUACUAACAGGUCAUGCUGAGGACUCUAGAGAGACUGCCGUCGUAAGAUGUGAGGAAGGUGGGGAUGACGUCAAAUCAGCACGGCCCUUACGUCCGGGGCUACACACGUGUUACAAUGGGGGGUACAGAAGGCAGCUACCUGGUGACAGGAUGCUAAUCCCAAAAGCCUCUCUCAGUUCGGAUCGAAGUCUGCAACCCGACUUCGUGAAGCUGGAUUCGCUAGUAAUCGCGCAUCAGCCAUGGCGCGGUGAAUACGUUCCCGGGCCUUGUACACACCGCCCGUCAAGCCAUGAAAGCCGGGGGUACAAUGAAGUACGUAACCGCAAGGAGCGUCCUAGGGUAAAAC
rnacentral:rRNA from 1 species